CCUACGGGAGGCAGCAGUGGGGAAUAUUGCGCAAUGGGGGAAACCCUGACGCAGCAACGCCGCGUGGAGGAUGAAGGCCUUCGGGUCGUAAACUCCUGUCUUUGGGGACGAAGAAUGACGGUACCCAAGGAGGAAGCCACGGCUAACUACGUGCCAGCAGCCGCGGUAAU
rnacentral:rRNA from 1 species